GCUAAGGCCAUUGUUUGUGUAGACUGUUUGGGCCGGUCCCGUCCGCCACCCACCCCCCCCCGAGGCUCCACAAGUGACGCGGAUUCUCGGGAGCACCGAGCCAGAAGCGGACAAGGGCGGGGAGAGCUGUGGCUGAAGAAAGAGUGGCAGAAAAGGGAGGGUGAUGGGCGGAGAAGCGGCUCCGGCUUAGAAAUUCCGAAGACACCAGUGUAGCUCAGACUCCUCAAAACUCCACCCUUCCCUAAAAGAGGAGCAUAAAUAAUGGAGGAAAGUUCACUAGUCUCCUCAUAGUCUGAUCCCAGAGCUCUUCUUC